GACGUUUGUGACGUCAAAGGGGCACAGUGCCAUACACUCGGACCUUCUUCAGUUAUUAUUGCCAUUAAACUGACAUCUACAGAAA